rnacentral:rRNA from 1 species
ACGGGGCGCAGCAGGCGCGAAACCUCCGCAAUGUGAGAAAUCGCGACGGGGGGAUCCCAAGUGCCAUUCUUAACGGGAUGGCUUUUCAUUAGUGUAAAGAGCUUUUGGAAUAAGGGCUGGGCAAGACCGGUGCCAGCCGCCGCGGUAAU